rnacentral:rRNA from 1 species
CGGAGGGAUCAUUACAAGAAGCCGAAAGGCUACUUAAAACCAUCGCGAACUAUUCCAAGUUGCUUCGGCGGUGCGGCUCUCCCCCCCGGGGGUCUGCCGCGUGCGCCGCCUCCUCCCCCGGGAGCUGGCGGGGCGCCCGCCGGAGGUCACAAACUCUCAUGUAUUACAGUGGAUCUCUGAGUAAAAAACAAAUAAGUUAAAACUUUCAACAACGGAUCUCUUGGUUCUGGCAUCGAUGAAGAACGCAGCGAAAUGCGAUAAGUAAUGUGAAUUGCAGAAUUCAGUGAAUCAUCGAAUCUUUGAACGCACAUUGCGCCCGCUAGUACUCUAGCGGGCAUGCCUGUUCGAGCGUCAUUUCAACCCUCAAGCCCUGCUUGGUGUUGGGGCCCCACGGCUGCCGUGGGCCCUGAAAGGAAGUGGCGGGCUCGCUACAACUCCGAGCGUAGUAAUUCAUUAUCUCGCUUAGGGCGUUGUGCGGUGCUCCUGCCGUUAAAGCACCCCUUUAACUCAAGGUUGACCUCGGAUCAGGUAGGAAUACCCGCUGAACUUAAGCAUAUCAAUAAGCGGAGGAAAAGAAACCAACAGGGAUUGCCCCAGUAACGGCGAGUGAAGCGGCAACAGCUCAAAUUUGAAAUCUGGCUCUCGGGCCCGAGUUGUAAUUUGUAGAGGAUGCUUUUGGCGAGGUGGCUUCUGAGUUCCCUGGAACGGGACGCCAGAGAGGGUGAGAGCCCCGUAUAGUCGCACACCAAGCCUUUGUAAAGCUCCUUCGACGAG